ACACAGCCAUUGAGAAGUUUCUAAUAGGCUCGGCUAGCCAAGGUAUUGUCUUCUCUUUAUGAAAAUGAUUGUCCAGUUUGCUGUAGCUCACAGCCAGUCCCUACCCUGCACCAGAUCAAUCUAUUCCACGUUUUACUUCCCUAAAAUAUUUUUUAAUAUUGGCCUAUACUAAGCAACAGUUAAUAUUGUAGUGUUUCAUAUUUUAAUCUUUGUGUCUUUAGAUGGAAAAAUGAGUCCAUGGGGUAGGACUGUCUGAAAAAGUACACGAACACUUGCGGCAUAUCACCAAAUUAAGUUUGUGUUAUACAGCCAGGUUCACCAACUUCCAGUUUGUUGCACCUCUUUUGUUAGCUGAGCGUCACUCGUUUGUGAAGGCAUACAAUCCAUGAAAUUAGUAGAUUGAAGAUCGUGUUUAAGAAUUAUUUCACGAUUCGUUUACAAUGUACUCUUCUGAAAAAAUAAGAAGUGAUCGACUGAGUACAGAAAGUAAAUUAAUUUAUGGCAGAUAUUUUAAAUAUGUACAUUUGGUUCUCUUUGGUUGGCACGAUGCUCUGUGUUCCUCAUAGCUGCAAAGUUACAUCCAUUAAUACUCGUGACUUGGUAGCGUGGUGUUAGAAGAUAGUUAUGUCGUAAUAAAAUACAGAUUACUAUUUAAGUGACUGUGUAUUUAUUGUGUUGGCUUCUAUUUUACUAACGCUUAAAAAUGUCGGUUGAGAAUUGGGUAAAUAUAAAUUGUAUGUGUGCAAUCGGGUGCUGCAUAAAAUUCUCCAUGUCUUGUGGAGUAGAAGAUUCCAGAGUGUUGCAGUGUGCAUUGUGUUAAAACAAUAUGAAACGUGUUAUUAUGAAGGGUUAUUUCUGCUGUUAAACAUUGAGUCACUGAUUAGAUUAUAAAGAUGCACACAACAUUCUUGAAUAGAAGUUAAAGUGAAUAAUACCGUUCUGCACUGGUGUCGACAUGAUGGAAUUUAGUUACAUUGAUGUGUACUUACUUUUUGUGGAAGGAAAGAUUAAGAUCCAAGGAUGAAACAGAGACACCGUCUGCAACUCUGCCAUAUAUACCUCCUGGAAAAUGUUCUGCCCACAAAAGUGCUUUCUCACAGAGAAAUUUAAAGUCCCAAAAAUAUGUACAUACACUGAAGAAAUUCUUAAAUGGUUUGUAUCUCAAGGCAUGGGAGUAAGUGUGUUAAA